CCCGCUAUAGUUUAAUUUAAAACAUUGACCUGCAAAAUCGAAAAUGGAAUAAUAUUCCUGGUGUGU
rnacentral:tRNA from 1 species